rnacentral:rRNA from 1 species
AAUGCUGACAUAAGUAACGAUAAAGCGGGUGAAAAGCCCGCUCGCCGGAAGACCAAGGGUUCCUGUCCAACGUUAAUCGGGGCAGGGUGAGUCGACCCCUAAGGCGAGGCCGAAAGGCGUAGUCGAUGGGAAACGGGUUAAUAUUCCCGUACUUGGUGUUACUGCGAAGGGGGGACGGAGAAGGCUAUGUUGGCCGGGCGACGGUUGUCCCGGUUUAAGCGUGUAGGUGUGUGUUCCAGGUAAAUCCGGUUCACUUUAACACUGAGGCGUGAUGACGAGGCACCACGGUGCUGAAGCAACAAAUGCCCUGCUUCCAGGAAAAGCCUCUAAGCAUCAGGUAACAUCAAAUCGUACCCCAAACCGACACAGGUGGUCAGGUAGAGAAUACCAAGGCGCUUGAGAGAACUCGGGUGAAGGAACUAGGCAAAAUGGUGCCGUAACUUCGGGAGAAGGCACGCUGACAC